UGGGGAAUAUUGGACAAUGGGCGCAAGCCUGAUCCAGCCAUGCCGCGUGUGUGAAGAAGGCCUCUUGGUUGUAAAGCACUUUAAGCGAGGAGGAGGCUACUUGGAUUAAUACUCUAGGAUAGUGGACGUUACUCGCAGAAUAAGCACCGGCUAACUCUGUGCCAGCAGCCGCGGUAAUACAGAGGGUGCGAGCGUUAAUCGGAUUUACUGGGCGUAAAGCGUGCGUAGGCGGCUUCUUAAGUCGGAUGUGAAAUCCCUGAGCUUAACUUAGGAAUUGCAUUCGAUACUGGGAAGCUAGAGUAUGGGAGAGGAUGGUAGAAUUCCAGGUGUAGCGGUGAAAUGCGUAGAGAUCUGGAGGAAUACCGAUGGCGAAGGCAGCCAUCUGGCCUAAUACUGACGCUGAGGUACGAAAGCAUGGGGAGCAAACAGG
rnacentral:rRNA from 1 species